rnacentral:rRNA from 1 species
UACGUAGGUGGCAAGCGUUGUCCGGAUUUACUGGGCGUAAAGAGCGCGCAGGCGGUCUUACAAGUCGCGUGUGAAAGCCCCCGGCUCAACUGGGGAGGGUCACGCGAUACUGUUCGACUCGAAGGCAGGAGAGGGAAGCAGAAUUCCCGGUGUAGUGGUGAAAUGCGUAGAUAUCGGGAGGAAUACCAGUGGCGAAGGCGGCUUCCUGGCCUGUUCUUGACGCUGAGGCGCGAAAGCUAGGGUAGCAAACGGG